GACGAACGCUGGCGGCGUGCCUAACACAUGCAAGUCGUACGAGAAACACGUCCUUCGGGAUGUGGAGUAAAGUGGCGCACGGGUGAGUAACACGUGGGUAACCUGCCCCCCGGCCUGGGAUAACCCUGCGAAAGUGGGGCUAAUCCUGGAUAAGACCACAUUGGCUAAGGCCCAAGGGGUCAAAGUAGGCCUCUCGACGAAGCUUACACCAGGGGACGGGCCCGCGGACCAUUAGCUAGUUGGUGGGGCAACGGCCCACCAAGGCUGAGAUAGUUAGCGGGUCUGAGAGGAUGGCCAGCCACACUGGAACUGAGAUACGGUCCAGACUCCUACGGGAGGCAGCAGUGAGGAAUAUUGCGCAAUGGGGGAAACCCUGACGCAGCAACGCCGCGUGGGUGAAGAAGGCUCUCGGGUUGUAAAGCCCUGUCAGGUGGGAAGAAACCUCCCAUGAAAAAUACGCGUGGGAAUUGACGGUACCACCAGAGGAAGCACCGGCUAACUCCGUGCCAGCAGCCGCGGUAACAC
rnacentral:rRNA from 1 species